rnacentral:rRNA from 1 species
GUGUCAGCCGCCGCGGUAAUACGUAGGGGGCAAGCGUUGUCCGGAAUUAUUGGGCGUAAAGCGCGUGUAGGCGGUCCGGUAAGUCGGCUGUGAAAGUCAGAGGCUCAACCUCUGAAAGCCGGUCGAUACUGUCGGGCUAGAGUCCGGAAGAGGCGAGUGGAAUUCCUGGUGUAGCGGUGAAAUGCGCAGAUAUCAGGAGGAACACCAAUGGCGAAGGCAGCUCGCUGGGACGGUACUGACGCUGAGACGCGAAAGCGUGGGGAGCAAACAGGAUUAGAAACCCUCGUAGUCC